CUAACUGAUUCUGAGGCCCAUCAAUGGUAGCUAAAUGCCUAUUAGAUUGAGACUAUGACAACAUAUAAUUUUUUUUCACCUUUGUUACUUUAAAAUCUCUACAGGUAGGCUGGGAGUUUUCUCUUAUUAAUCCAGUAAUGGUACAUUGUUGUGUGCAAUUGUGCUGCUGACCAUACUAGCUACAUGCUCCAGACAUGCUCCUGCUUGGAGUAGACAGGAAAUAUUGGACCUCCUGGGACUGUAGGGAGAAGAGGAUGUGCAGGCACAGCUCCGAGCCAGCCACAAAAAUGUUGACAUCUACAAGCAGAUUGCUCGGGCUGGGGGAUAUAGGAGAAAGGCUACAACAGUGGCCAGCAGCAGCGCAAUGUGAAAGCCAAGGAACAGUAUGCAUUCUGGUAUGCCAGGGAGGCCAACAAUCAAUUGGGUGCAGAGCUGCAGAUCUGUUGGUCUUACAAAGAGCUGCAUGUCAUACUUGGCAGAGACCCUACCAUGACCCGGUACACUACUAUGGAUACCUCCGAGGAGCCUGAGUCACAGGCCCUUGCUGUGAACAGUGAGGAGAAGGAGGUGGAUGAGGAGGACAGGGCAGGCGACCGGGGGGUCUAGCUAUGCAGUGAGCCUGGACCUGUUUUUGACUCCAUCACAGUCCAGCCAGUCCCUACAGUUGAGUACAGGUAAGCCUGAAACAGGGAAGGAACCUCAGGUAAGCGUGUAAAUAAAUUUUCCAUUACAGUAUGACUCCCCCAACUUAUCAGCACAUAGCUGUUGAUUUUAAUUGAUUUACUCGUACUAGAAGAGGUAAAGGAACAACAAGGAGAGGCAGAGUUGUUACCUGCUUUUCAUUCCUCUGUACAGUUAGGCAGGGGGAGCUGUGGGGAGCAGUUUGUUUAUGUACACCGGGAUGUCCGUUGAAUCCUCCUCACAGAUCUCAAUGAAACUUUCAUGGAAGUACACCGCGAUCCAUUUCUAAAGGUUUCUAGGGAUGUCAACCUUAUUUCUUCCUUCUUGGUAGCACACUUUCCCACACUAUUGGGCAAUAAUUUUGGCAGGUUAGCAGCAUACAGGCACAGGCAACUUCAGCUGUGCUUUCUCUGUCUUUGUUACCCCCAGGAGUGAGAUAUCAGCUAAAACCACCACCUGUGUAAAAUGUUGCCAGUAUUCAGUGCCAGUGCCCUAUACUCAUAGUUUCAUGCUACCAAGCAGUUCCCUCCUUGUUUCCCUCACCCCGGGCAGGUCAUACUCACCAUGGCUGGAACUGUUAGUGGUGCUGUGAACAAGUACUCAGAAGCAGAAGUGCCAGUAAGCAUGUCUUGUUUAACACAUUAGCUACCUCCAUUGAGGCCUUGAGGUGUUUUCCUUCCACACCAGUGAAACGACUGACCCAGAUAAGGAGGAGAAAAAAAGAGGACACAGGAACACAUGUUCUGCGAGAUCCUGCAAGACGCUGCUACAUCAGACCUUGAACAGAGGGACUAGAGAGUGAAUUCGCAGACUGUACGGAGAAGAAAAGAGUGGAGAGGAGAAAUGCCCAGGAAUCCCAGCAGGAACAGGAGAGGGAAAUGCACCAGGACAUAAUGGAGCUUCUCCAUUAGCAAACACAGAUCUGCAGACUCUUGUGGACCUCUAGGUUCAACAAUCCCGGGCUUGACUGUCAUUGCAGUUGGUGGAGUGCUGCAGCAUAGUGCCUCCCUGCACCCGCCUCGCCAUUCAACGUGGCCUCAGAACCAGCACGCUUACCCCUACCACUCCACACUGGGGGAAAAGCAUGGCUAACCACAGCUUCACAUACACUGACCUGCAAGAGCCACAGCUGAUGUAUGUGUAGCUACAAUGGACAUCAAUGUUCCUGUCCCUUGUUUGUUUAUUAAGGUUCUGAAAAUGUUCGAAGUUCAAAAUCUAUUUAUUAUUAUGUCCUUCAGAUUGUUUGUUAGGUGCUGUUUUCAUAACUGAAUAAAGUUCUUAUUUUUAAA